GUACUUACCUGGAGGGGGAGAUACCAUGAUCACGAAGGUGGUUUUCUCAGGGCAAGUCUUAGCCAUUGCACUCCAGGUGUGCUAACCCCUGCGAUUUCCUCAAACAUGAAAAUCUUGACUGCAUAAUUUGUGGUUAUGGGGGACUGCGUUUGCACUCUCCCCUG